UGGGCGCAAGCCUGAUCCAGCCAUACCGCGUGGGUGAAGAAGGCCUUCGGGUUGUAAAGCCCUUUUGUUGGGAAAGAAAUCCAGCCGGCUAAUACCUGGUUGGGAUGACGGUACCCAAAGAAUAAGCACCGGCUAACUUCGUGCCAGCAGCCGCGGUAAUACGAAGGGUGCAAGCGUUACUCGGAAUUACUGGGCGUAAAGCGUGCGUAGGUGGUUAUUUAAGUCCGUUGUGAAAGCCCUGGGCUCAACCUGGGAACUGCAGUGGAUACUGGAUGACUAGAAUGUGGUAGAGGGUAGCGGAAUUCCUGGUGUAGCAGUGAAAUGCGUAGAGAUCAGGAGGAACAUCCAUGGCGAAGGCAGCUACCUGGACCAACAUUGACACUGAGGCACGAAAGCGUGGGGAGCAAACAGGAUUAGAUACCCUGGUAGUCCACGCCCUAAACGAUGCGAACUGGAUGUUGGGUGCAAUUUGGCACGCAGUAUCGAAGCUAACGCGUUAAGUCGCCGCCUGGAUAUC
rnacentral:rRNA from 1 species